UGACACUUCCUACGGCUCACAUGGUCUCUCAGAAGGCGGCAAAAAGCUGAAUCGUGGCUUUGCAGGCUCUGGUUGAAACAAAGUAGCGCGUUUGGGUAGUGGCUGGUUACAGUACUGUGAGACUCAGGCGCGUGCCCGCGUCGACAGAAUGCUUUGUUUUCUUUCCUCUGUUUACCUAAACGCAGAUUCCCGGUCGGAAUAUUAUCGCUUUUUUACGAGAAAAAUGGCAUAAAAAUUGAUUUUAAACAGCGGUUGACAUGCUUCGAAGUACGGUAAUGGAAUAUUUAGAAAUCUUUUGUCACGAAUUGCGCCAUGCUCGUAACCCUUAUUUACACUUCGGAUAGUGUCUAGAACGCACGAACAAAACGCCGCUAUUUGGAUAUAACGAUGGAUUAUUUUGGACCAAACCAACAUUUGUUAUUGAAGUAGCAGUCCUGGGAGUGCAUUCUGACGAAGACAACAAAGGUGAUCACUGAGAACUCAACGAGCUGGUCUGAGCCACAGCAUUUUAUAGAAAAGUCCAUCCUCCUUCAUUCAACAUGACAAACAACAGAUGAAUGGAAUGGGUCACAAGGGUUAUAGCUACUUGGUGAAUAGGAGGACGAAGAGGAUAAGAUUGAAAUUGGGGAGCCGGAGAAAGUUGAGAAGCCACCACGUGAUG
rnacentral:lncRNA from 1 species